GUCGAACUGACGGCACGGACUUCGGUCUGGUGGCGAGUGGCGAACGGGUGAGUAAUGUAUCGGAACGUGCCCUAGUAACGGGGAUAACUACGGCCUGGCUAGCCACGCCUUACGCCCUUCGGGGAAAGCGGGGGACCUUCAGGCCUCGCACACUCGUAGAGCAGCCGAUAUCGGAUAGCUAACGUUGGUAGGGUAACGGCUCACCCGAGGCGACGAUCCGUAGCUGGUUUGAAGGACAUUAAUAGCCACACUGGGACUGGGGCGGCCCAGACUCUGCAGGGAGGCAGCAGUGGGGAAUUUUGGACAAUGGGGAAACCCUGAUCAGCGUAUACAUCCCGCGUGUGCGAUGAAGGCCUUCGGGUUGUAAAGCUUGCCUUUUGGCGGAAAAAGAAGCAGCUGCAGGAUAAUACCCCGUGCAACUGACGGUACCUGCAGAAUAAACACCGGCUAACUACGUGCCAGCAGCCGCGGUAAUACGUAAAGUUGCAAGCGUUAAUCGGAAUUACUGGGCGUAAAGCGUGCGCAGGCGGUUCGGAAAAGAAAGAUGUGAAAUCCCAGAGCUUAACUUUGGAACUGCAUUUUUAACUACCGAGCUAGAGUGUGUCAGGGAGGUGGAAUUCCACGCGACAGCAGUGAAAUGCGUAGAUAUGCGGAGGAACACCGUGCUUGAAGGCAACCUCCUGGAUGUUACCACUGACGCUCAUGCACGAAAAAGCGUGGGGCAAACGGAUUAGAUACCCUGGUAGUCCACGCCCUAAACGUCAACUAGCUGUUGGGGCCUUCGGGCCUUGGUAGCGCAGCUAACGCGUGAGAUUGACCUGGGGAAUACGAUUAGCAAGAUUAAAACUCAAAGGAAUUGACGGGGACCCGCACAAGCGGUGGAUGUUGUGGAUAAUUAGUUGCAACGCGAAAAACCUUACCUACCCUUGACAUGUCUGGAAUCCCGAAGAGAUUUGGGAGUGCUCGCAAGAGAACCGGAACACAGGUGCUGCGCCAGGCUGUCGUCAGCUCGUGUCGUGAGAUGUUGGGUUAAGUCCCGCAACGAGCGCAACCCUUGUCCAUUGGAUGCUACGAAAGGGCACUCUAAUGAGACUGCCGGUGACAAACCGGAGGAAGGUGGGGAUGACGUCAGUCCUCAUGGCCCCUUAUGGGUAGGGCUUCACGUCAUGCAAUGGUCGGGACAGAGGGUCGCCAACCCGCGAGAGGCCAUCGAAACCCGAUCGUAGUCCGGAUCGCAGUCUGCAACUCGACUGCGUGAAGUCGGAAUCGCUAGUAAUCGCGGAUCAGCAUGUCGCGGUGAAUACGUUCUUCCCCGGGUCUGUACACCGCCCGUCACACCAUGGGGUGGGUUUUACCAGAAGUAGUUAGCCUAACCGUAAGGAGGGCGAUUACCACGGUAGGAUUCAUGACUGGGGUGAGUCGUAAACAGGUAA
rnacentral:rRNA from 1 species